GUUGCAAGACAUUGCCAGUAUUGGUGCAAAUCAACUAGUCUGUAUCCGUGAUAUACUAUUUAGUUCUCAGUAGAAAGUUUCUUCGAAUUAUAUUUUAAUCAAAAUAAUUCCAAGUAAUGCAGCUGAAUGUAUAUAUUUAACAGAAGUCUAUGGCAUCAUCUAUAACAUCUUGCAGAAACUGGAUUGAACUUCAAACGGUGACGCAUGAAUUGAAAAAUGAGGACAGCCGUGACAUUUGGCAGGAUCAAAGGAAUGACAGAGAGAAGGAAAAUUUUGAUCUCAGUCAUGCAUGAUACAGGGCCAACCAAAUCCCAGCUAUGACUAAAGGCUUAACUUCCUUCUUUUGUGGAUAACAAAAUAAUUUCUCUAUGGAAAACUAUAGUUUUUGUUUUUAACUUUAACAGCAUGUGU